UGAGCAAUCUGCCCUUCUCAUCGGAAUAAGCGUUGGAAACGACGUCUAAUGCCGAAUACGACCUCCUUUCGCAUGAUCGGAGGUGGAAAGCUCCGGCGGAGAAGGAUGAGCUCGCGGCCUAUCAGCUAGUUGGUGUGGGUAAUGGCCCACCAAGGCGACGACGGGUAGCCGGCCUGAGAGGGUGACUGGCCACACGUGGGACUGAGACACGGCCCAGACUCCGUAGGGA
rnacentral:rRNA from 1 species